AACGAACGCUGGCGGCGUGCUUAACACAUGCAAGUCGAACGGAAUUAGGGGCUUGCUCCUAAUUUAGUGGCGCACGGGUGAGUAACGCGUGGAUAACCUACCCUGGUAUCUGGGAUAACAUCUCGAAAGGGGUGCUAAUACCGGAUAAGCCCACGGUCUCUUCGGGGAUUGCGGGAAAAGAUGGCCUCUAUUUAUAAGCUAUCGUAUCAGGAUGGGUCCGCGUACCAUUAGCUAGUUGGUGGUGUAAUGGACCACCAAGGCGACGAUGGUUAGCUGGUCUGAGAGGAUGAUCAGCCACACUGGAACUGAGACACGGUCCAGACUCCUACGGGAGGCAGCAGUGGGGAAUUUUGCGCAAUGGGGGAAACCCUGACGCAGCAACGCCGCGUGAGUGAUGAAGGCCUUCGGGUCGUAAAGCUCUGUCAGAGGGGAAGAAGUGAUAGUGUGCUAAUACCACAUUAUCUUGACGGUACCCUCAAAGGAAGCACCGGCUAACUCCGUGCCAGCAGCCGCGGUAAUACGGAGGGUGCAAGCGUUGUUCGGAUUUAUUGGGCGUAAAGCGCGUGUAGGCGGUCUUUUAAGUCUGAUGUGAAAGCCCCGGGCUCAACCCGGGAAGUGCAUUGGAAACUGGGAGACUUGAAUACGGGAGAGGGUAGUGGAAUUCCUAGUGUAGGAGUGAAAUCCGUAGAUAUUAGGAGGAACACCGGUGGCGAAGGCGGCUACCUGGACCGAUAUUGACGCUGAGACGCGAAAGCGUGGGGAGCAAACAGGAUUAGAUACCCUGGUAGUCCACGCCGUAAACGAUGAGUACUAGGUGUUGCGGGUAUUGACCCCUGCAGUGCCGCAGCUAACGCAUUAAGUACUCCGCCUGGGAAGUACGGUCGCAAGACUAA
rnacentral:rRNA from 1 species